rnacentral:tRNA from 2 species
GCGGAACUGGCGGAAUUGGCAGACGCGCAUGAUUCAGGUUCAUGUGCCGCAAGGCUUUCGGGUUCAAGUCCCGAGUUCCGCAC